UACGUAGGGUGCGAGCGUUGUCCGGAAUCAUUGGGCGUAAAGAGCUCGUAGGCGGCCUGUCGCGUCGGAUGUGAAAACCCGGGGCUCAACCUCGGGCCUGCAUUCGAUACGGGCAGGCUGGAGUUCGGCAGGGGAGACUGGAAUUCCUGGUGGAGUGGUGAAAUGCGUAGAGAUCAGGAAGAACACCCGUGGCGAAGGCGGCCCACUGGGCCGGACCUGGACGCUGGAGGCACGAAGGCGUGGGGAGCGAACGGG
rnacentral:rRNA from 1 species